rnacentral:rRNA from 1 species
UACAGAGGUCCCAAGCGUUGUUCGGAUUCAUUGGGCGUAAGGGGUGCGUAGGCGGCGCGGUAAGUCGGGUGUGAAAUCUCGGGGCUUAACUCCGAAACUGCAUUCGAUACUGCCGUGCUUGAGGACUGGAGAGGAGACUGGAAUUUACGGUGUAGCGGUGAAAUGCGUAGAUAUCGUAAGGAAGACCAGUGGCGAAGGCGGGUCUCUGGACAGUUCCUGACGCUGAGGCACGAAGGCCAGGGGAGCAAACAGG